CCUACGGGUGGCUGCAGUGUGGAAUAUUGGUCCAUGGGCGCGAUCCUGACCCCGCCAAGUCGCGUGAAGGAUGACUGCCCUACGGGUUGUAAACUUCUUUUAUCAAGCAAUAACGUGAGGCACGUGUGCCUUUUUAUAUGUCCUUUAUGUAUCCGGACACGCUAACUCCGUGCCAGCAGCCUCGGUAAUACGGAGGAUUCUCGCGGUAUCCGGAUUUAUUGGGUUUAAAGGGAGCGUAGAUGGGUUGUUAAGUCAGUUGUGAAAGUUUGCGGCUCAACCGUAAAAUUGCAAUUGAUACUGGCAGCCUUGAGUACAGUAGAGGUAAGCGGAAGUCGUGGUGUAGCGGUGAAAUGCUUAGAUAUCACGAAGAACUCC
rnacentral:rRNA from 1 species